AUUGAACGCUGGCGGCAGGCCUAACACAUGCAAGUCGAGCGGAUGACGGGAGCUUGCUCCUGGAUUCAGCGGCGGACGGGUGAGUAAUGCCUAGGAAUCUGCCUGGUAGUGGGGGACAACGUUUCGAAAGGAACGCUAAUACCGCAUACGUCCUACGGGAGAGAGCAGGGGACCUUCGGGCCUUGCGCUAUCAGAUGAGCCUAGGUCGGAUUAGCUUGUUGGUGAGGUAAUGGCUCACCAAGGCGACGAUCCGUAACUGGUCUGAGAGGAUGAUCAGUCACACUGGAACUGAGACACGGUCCAGACUCCUACGGGAGGCAGCAGUGGGGAAUAUUGGACAAUGGGCGAAAGCCUGAUCCAGCCAUGCCGCGUGUGUGAAGAAGGUCUUCGGAUUGUAAAGCACUUUAAGUUGGGAGGAAGGGUUGUAGAUUAAUACUCUGCAAUUUUGACGUUACCGACAGAAUAAGCACCGGCUAACUCUGUGCCAGCCGCCGCCGUAAAAC
rnacentral:rRNA from 1 species